GACGAACGCUGGCGGCGUGCCUAAUACAUGCAAGUCGAACGCUUCUUUCCUCCCGAGUGCUUGCACUCAAUUGGAAAGAGGAGUGGCGGACGGGUGAGUAACACGUGGGUAACCUACCCAUCAGAGGGGGAUAACACUUGGAAACAGGUGCUAAUACCGCAUAACAGUUUAUGCCGCAUGGCAUAAGAGUGAAAGGCGCUUUCGGGUGUCGUUGAUGGAUGGACCCGCGGUGCAUUAGCUAGUUGGUGAGGUAACGGCUCACCAAGGCCACGAUGCAUAGCCGACCUGAGGGUGAUCGGCCACACUGGGACUGAGACACGGCCCAGACUCCUACGGGAGGCAGCAGUAGGGAAUCUUCGGCAAUGGACGAAAGUCUGACCGAGCAACGCCGCGUGAGUGAAGAAGGUUUUCGGAUCGUAAAACUCUGUUGUUAGAGAAGAACAAGGACGUUAGUAACUGAACGUCCCCUGACGGUAUCUAACCAGAAAGCCACGGCUAACUACGUG
rnacentral:rRNA from 1 species